rnacentral:rRNA from 1 species
AGAGUUUGAUCCUGGCUCAGAACGAACGCUGGCGGCAGGCUUAACACAUGCAAGUCGAGCGCACCCUUCGGGGUGAGCGGCGGACGGGUUAGUAACGCGUGGGAACGUGCCCAGAUCUGCGGAAUAGCCACUGGAAACGGUGAGUAAUACCGCAUACGCCCUUCGGGGGAAAGAUUUAUCGGAUUUGGAUCGGCCCGCGUUAGAUUAGGUAGUUGGUGGGGUAAUGGCCUACCAAGCCUACGAUCUAUAGCUGGUUUUAGAGGAUGAUCAGCAACACUGGGACUGAGACACGGCCCAGACUCCUACGGGAGGCAGCAGUGGGGAAUCUUGGACAAUGGGGGCAACCCUGAUCCAGCCAUGCCGCGUGAGUGAUGAAGGCCUUAGGGUCGUAAAGCUCUUUCGCCAGGGAUGAUAAUGACAGUACCUGGUAAAGAAACCCCGGCUAACUCCGUGCCAGCAGCCGCGGUAAUACGGAGGGGGUUAGCGUUGUUCGGAAUUACUGGGCGUAAAGCGCACGUAGGCGGAUUAGUCAGUCAGAGGUGAAAUCCCAGGGCUCAACCCUGGAACUGCCUUUGAUACUGCUAGUCUUGAGUUCGAGAGAGGUGAGUGGAAUUCCGAGUGUAGAGGUGAAAUUCGUAGAUAUUCGGAGGAACACCAGUGGCGAANGCGGCUCACUGGCUCGAUACUGACGCUGA